rfam:Citrus sinensis cultivar Ridge Pineapple sweet orange scaffold00254_contig_38, whole genome shotgun sequence.
AAACUCACCUGGAUGGGGUCAAUGAGUGAUGACUAAGGCUCAUGUCCUAGGGCUGCCCCUCCAUUGCACUUCUUGGAGGACUACCCUAAGGUCUCCCCAAGCUCGGAGAGCCUGCGUUCCAAUUUGUUGUAGGGGCUUGCGUUCGCGUGGCCCUGCC